CAGCACUUCAAGUGGUCAGGAUGAUUAUUGGGCCUAAAGCAUCCGUAGCCGGUUCUACAAGUCUUCCGUUAAAUCCACCUGCUCAACAGAUGGGCUGCGGAGGAUACUAUAGAGCUAGGAGGCGGGAGAGGCAAGCGGUACUCAGUGGGUAGGGGUAAAAUCCGUUGAUCCAUUGAAGACCACCAGUGGCGAAGGCGGCUUGCCAGAACGCACUCGACGGUGAGGGAUGAAAGCUGGGGGAGCAAACCGGAUUAGAUACCCGAGUAGUCC
rnacentral:rRNA from 1 species